rnacentral:rRNA from 1 species
AACGAACGCUGGCGGCAUGCCUAACACAUGCAAGUCGAACGAGACCUUCGGGUCUAGUGGCGCACGGGUGCGUAACGCGUGGGAACCUUCCCUUAGGUUCGGAAUAACUCCCCGAAAGGGGUGAUAAUACCGGAUAAUGUCUUCGGACCAAAGAUUUAUCGCCGUUGGAUGGGCCCGCGUUGGAUUAGCUAGUUGGUAGGGUAAAAGCCUACCAAGGCGACGAUCCAUAGCUGGUCUGAGAGGAUGAUCAGCCACACUGGGACUGAGACACGGCCCAGACUCCUACGGGAGGCAGCAGUGGGGAAUAUUGGACAAUGGGCGAAAUCCUGAUCCAGCAAUGCCGCGUGAGUGAUGAAGGCCUUAGGGUUGUAAAGCUCUUUUACCCGGGAUGAUAAUGACAGUACCGGGAGAAUAAGCUCCGGCUAACUCCGUG